rfam:Oryza glaberrima chromosome 1 Oglab01_0299_23, whole genome shotgun sequence.
AUACUUACCUGGACGGGGUAGACGGGCGAUAAAGAAGGCCCGUGGCCUAGAUCAAUGGCUCACAUUGCACUUGGUGAGCGCGUUGGUUUACCAUCUCCCCAAGUGGGAGAGUGGACGUCAUAAUUUGUGGUAGAGGGGGUACGCGUUCGCGCGGCCCCUG